rnacentral:rRNA from 1 species
UACGUAGGGUGCAAGCGUUGUCCGGAAUUAUUGGGCGUAAAGAGCUCGUAGGCGGUCUGUUACGUCGGCUGUGAAAACCUGGGGCUCAACUCCGGGCCUGCAGCCGAUACGGGCAGACUAGAGUUCGGCAGGGGAGACUGGAAUUCCUGGUGUAGCGGUGAAAUGCGCAGAUAUCAGGAGGAACACCGUUGGCGAAGGCGGGUCUCUGGGCAGUAACUGACGCUGAGGAGCGAAAGCGUGGGGAGCGAACAGG